ACGGUGGUCUAGUGGCUAGACCGUUUGCCUCCGAUGCGAGAGUUCGUGGGUUCAAUCCCCGACCUAGAAAUA